CAGUUUUGGAGAGGCCCACUGGUGAUGUGGCUGGUAUUGUGGUUACAAAACCACACCCAGGAGUCAAAAGAUUUCACAGCACAAACCAAGUGUUUAGUACGAAACAGGCAGCAGGAGAAGCAACACUAAUAUUAAGUUUCCAUCAAAAUGACCCUGGUACAAGACUAUCUCAGCAAGCUGACACUCCAGACUUAUGAAGACAAAAUUGGAGGUUUGUGCUGUGUAAAACCACACCCCAACUUCAGUGCUGAACAAGAUGCAGCUGCUAUCGAGACUGCAA